rnacentral:rRNA from 1 species
UACGUAGGGUGCGAGCGUUGUCCGGAAUUAUUGGGCGUAAAGAGCUCGUAGGCGGUUUGUCGCGUCGUCUGUGAAAUUCUGCAACUCAAUUGCAGGCGUGCAGGCGAUACGGGCAGACUUGAGUACUACAGGGGAGACUGGAAUUCCUGGUGUAGCGGUGAAAUGCGCAGAUAUCAGGAGGAACACCGGUGGCGAAGGCGGGUCUCUGGGUAGUAACUGACGCUGAGGAGCGAAAGCGUGGGUAGCGAACAGG